rnacentral:rRNA from 1 species
CGGUACGUACUGGCAUUGUUGGUUUCUCCCUUCUGACGAACCAUGAUGUCAUUUAUUUGGUGUUGUGGGGAAUCAGGACUGUUACUUUGAAAAAAUUAGAGUGUUUGAAGCAGGCUCACGCUUGAAUACAUUAGCAUGGAAUAAUGAAAUAGGACGUUUGAUUCUAUUUUGUUGGUUUCUAGGAUCGACGUAAUGAUUAAUAGGGAUGGUUGGGGGCAUUAGUAUUCAAUUGUCAGAGGUGAAAUUCUUGGAUUUAUUGAAGACUAACUACUGCGAAAGCAUUUGCCAAGGAUGUUUUCAUUAAUCAAGAACGAAAGUUAGGGGAUCGAAGACGAUCAGAUACCGUCGUAGUCUUAACCAUAAACUAUGCCGACUAGGGAUCGGAUGAUGUUAAUUUUUUAAUGACUCAUUCGGCGCCUUACG